rnacentral:tRNA from 1 species
AAGACUUUAAGUUAAAAAAACUAUUAACCUUCAAAGUUAAAAAUAUUCAAUAAGUAAGCCUUA